rnacentral:rRNA from 1 species
GACGAACGCUGGCGGCGUGCCUAAUACAUGCAAGUAGAACGCUGAAGGAGGAGCUUGCUUCUCUGGAUGAGUUGCGAACGGGUGAGUAACGCGUAGGUAACCUGCCUGGUAGCGGGGGAUAACUAUUGGAAACGAUAGCUAAUACCGCAUAAGAGUAGAUGUUGCAUGACAUUUGCUUAAAAGGUGCAAUUGCAUCACUACCAGAUGGACCUGCGUUGUAUUAGCUAGUUGGUGAGGUAACGGCUCACCAAGGCAACGAUACAUAGCCGACCUGAGAGGGUGAUCGGCCACACUGGGACUGAGACACGGCCCAGACUCCUACGGGAGGCAGCAGUAGGGAAUCUUCGGAAAUGGACGGAAGUCUGACCGAGCAACGCCGCGUGAGUGAAGAAGGUUUUCGGAUCGUAAAGCUCUGUUGUAAGAGAAGAACGAGUGUGAGAGUGGAAAGUUCACACUGUGACGGUAUCUUACCAGAAAGGGACGGCUAACUACGUG